CGGAGGAGGCCGGAUCCUGGGCUGUGUCCCGGCGCCCUGUGCUCCGGGGCCUGCGCUGGUGGAUUCGCGCUCCCGGGCCGCGCAACCCCCU
rnacentral:pre_miRNA from 1 species